GGGGAUGUGGCUCAGUGGUAGAGCAUCUGCUUAGCAUGCAGAAGUCCUGGGUUCAAUUCCUGGCAUCACCA